GAGGGUGGGAGGUACACGUCCCUGCCUCUCACAGGUUUGUUAGGGUCAGGCUUUACCCAGGCGUGGAGGGUGGGAGGUACACGUCUCUGCCUCUCACAGGUUUGUUUGGGUCAGGCUUUACCCAGGCGUGGAGGGUGGGAGGUACACGUCUCUGCCUCUCACAGGUUUGUUUGGGUCAGGCUUUACCCAGGCAAAUAUAAACUGAUAAAUGUAUUGUUAUCAUUGUGCUUUUUAAUACUACAACACAACUUGGACAGUGACUGUUACCUCUACAACACAACUUGGACAGUGACUGGUACCUCUACAACACAACUUGGACAGUGACUGGUACCUCUACAACACAACUUGGACAGUGACUGGUACCUCUACAACA